rnacentral:rRNA from 1 species
CUACCGCAGCUUACACAUGCAAGUCGAACGGUCUCUUCGGAGAUAGUGGCGGACGGGUGAGUAACGCGUGAGAAUCUGGCUUCAGGUCGGGGACAACCACUGGAAACGGUGGCUAAUACCGGAUGUGCCGAAAGGUGAAAGAUUUAUUGCCUGAAGAUGAGCUCGCGUCUGAUUAGCUAGUAGGAAGUGUAAGAGACUACCUAGGCGACGAUCAGUAGCUGGUCUGAGAGGAUGAUCAGCCACACUGGGACUGAGACACGGCCCAGACUCCUACGGGAGGCAGCAGUGGGGAAUUUUCCGCAAUGGGCGAAAGCCUGACGGAGCAAUACCGCGUGAGGGAGGAAGGCUCUUGGGUUGUAAACCUCUUUUCUCAGGGAAGAACAAAAUGACGGUACCUGAGGAAUAAGCAUCGGCUAACUCCGUGCCAGCAGCCGCGGUAAUACGGAGGAUGCAAGCGUUAUCCGGAAUGAUUGGGCGUAAAGCGUCCGCAGGUGGCAGUGUAAGUCUGCUGUUAAAGAGUGAGGCUUAACCUCAUAAAAGCAGUGGAAACUACACAGCUAGAGUACGUUCGGGGCAGAGGGAAUUCCUGGUGUAGCGGUGAAAUGCGUAGAAAUA